UCUUGGAAUAAGGCUGUAACAUAAAAUGUGGAAAGAGUGAAGCGCUGUGAAUACUUUCCAGAUGCGCUGUAUAUACUAGAUCUUCUGUGCCUUUAGAUGUAGAUCCUCCAAUGAGAAUACUAUUGCCUGUGGUGGUGCAUAUGUACUAGAUUUGUGGCUUUUAUUGCACAUCCCCCCAGUAGUAUAUUGCAGCCUAUAGAGGGGUAAUACACACAUAUGUACUAGGUCUGUUAUGCCUUUCACUGCACAUCAUCCCAGCAGUAUAUUACAGUCUACACAGCAUGUUCUGUGACUUGUUUUUCCAUAGGUUCUGAAGAAACCUGAAGAGUGUUAAGCAGAUGUCGUGUCUCCACAUCAGAGCCCGUAUCCAGACUGCUCUCAUGUACAUACUGUACGUAGCAGCACCUGCUAGUUGUUAUAAGGUGGCCCUCCUCCGUACUCCAACAGCGGACUGUCUCUGAGCAUCAUCCUCUUCAAUGCAGGGAUAUGAACCAUGCACUGGUCUUGAUGACAUCAGGACCUUUAAUCUGACGGAUCUUGGGGCAGAAGAUGCUGUGGAGACUGGUCUAGCAGUGCAGAGGAUCAGAAAAGUAAAUCUACUUUGAGCAGCACCACUGCAAGGGAUAAUUUUCAUGUUUGUUUCCCAGAGAUUGGGAAGCCUAGGGCUCUGAGGAAUAGGGGAUUCUCCCUCGAAACUCGUCAGCAGUGCUCUGAGGAAGAGGAGAUCCCCUUUGAGAUGCGUCAGCCGCUUGGACAGUCUUUUCAUGUUUGGGACUUGCCUAGGUGACCAGGAUGCUUCAAAUAUAUUGUGUACUUUGAUGUGCCUUAUUGCCGAUUGUUGUUUGUGAGUAUGCAUCUGUCUUUUUUUUACACAAUAAAGCUAUCACAAAGAUAAUG